rnacentral:rRNA from 1 species
CUUUCUUUGCUGGCGACCGGCGCACGGGUGAGUAACACGUAUCCAACCUGCCCUUUACUCGGGGAUAGCCUUUCGAAAGAAAGAUUAAUACCCGAUAGCAUAAUGAUUCCGCAUGGUUUCAUUAUUAAAGGAUUCCGGUAGACGAUGGGGAUGCGUUCCAUUAGAUAGUAGGCGGGGUAACGGCCCACCUAGUCUUCGAUGGAUAGGGGUUCUGAGAGGAAGGUCCCCCACAUUGGAACUGAGACACGGUCCAA